rnacentral:tRNA from 1 species
UCCCAGGUGGUCCAGUGGUUAAGACUCUGCACUUCCACCGCAGAGGGUAUGGGUUUGAAUACUGGCCAGGGAA